GAUGAACGCUGGCGGCGUGCCUAAUACAUGCAAGUCGAGCGAACGGACGAGAAGCUUGCUUCUCUGAUGUUAGCGGCGGACGGGUGAGUAACACGUGGAUAACCUACCUAUAAGACUGGGAUAACUUCGGGAAACCGGAGCUAAUACCGGAUAAUAUUUUGAACCGCAUGGUUCAAAAGUGAAAGACGGUCUUGCUGUCACUUAUAGAUGGAUCCGCGCUGCAUUAGCUAGUUGGUAAGGUAACGGCUUACCAAGGCAACGAUGCAUAGCCGACCUGAGAGGGUGAUCGGCCACACUGGAACUGAGACACGGUCCAGACUCCUACGGGAGGCAGCAGUAGGGAAUCUUCCGCAAUGGGCGAAAGCCUGACGGAGCAACGCCGCGUGAGUGAUGAAGGUCUUCGGAUCGUAAAACUCUGUUAUUAGGGAAGAACAUAUGUGUAAGUAACUGUGCACAUCUUGACGGUACCUAAUCAGAAAGCCACGGUUAACUACGUGCCAGCAGCCGCGGUAAUACGUAGGUGGCAAGCGUUAUCCGGAAUUAUUGGGCGUAAAGCGCGCGUAGGCGGUUUUUUAAGUCUGAUGUGAAAGCCCACGGCUCAACCGUGGAGGGUCAUUGGAAACUGGAAAACUUGAGUGCAGAAGAGGAAAGUGGAAUUCCAUGUGUAGCGGUGAAAUGCGCAGAGAUAUGGAGGAACACCAGUGGCGAAGGCGACUUUCUGGUCUGUAACUGACGCUGAUGUGCGAAAGCGUGGGGAUCAAACAGGAUUAGAUACCCUGGUAGUCCACGCCGUAAACGAUGAGUGCUAAGUGUUAGGGGGUUUCCGCCCCUUAGUGCUGCAGCUAACGCAUUAAGCACUCCGCCUGGGGAGUACGACCGCAAGGUUGAAACUCAAAGGAAUUGACGGGGACCCGCACAAGCGGUGGAGCAUGUGGUUUAAUUCGAAGCAACGCGAAGAACCUUACCAAAUCUUGACAUCCUUUGACAACUCUAGAGAUAGAGCCUUCCCCUUCGGGGGACAAAGUGACAGGUGGUGCAUGGUUGUCGUCAGCUCGUGUCGUGAGAUGUUGGGUUAAGUCCCGCAACGAGCGCAACCCUUAAGCUUAGUUGCCAUCAUUAAGUUGGGCACUCUAAGUUGACUGCCGGUGACAAACCGGAGGAAGGUGGGGAUGGCGUCAAAUCAUCAUGCCCCUUAUGAUUUGGGCUACACACGUGCUACAAUGGACAAUACAAAGGGCAGCGAAACCGCGAGGUCAAGCAAAUCCCAUAAAGUUGUUCUCAGUUCGGAUUGUAGUCUGCAACUCGACUACAUGAAGCUGGAAUCGCUAGUAAUCGUAGAUCAGCAUGCUACGGUGAAUACGUUCCCGGGUCU
rnacentral:rRNA from 1 species